GGGUUGUGAGGUUAAGCGACUAAGCGUACACGGUGGAUGCCCUGGCAGUCAGAGGCGAUGAAGGACGUGCUAAUCUGCGAUAAGCGUCGGUAAGGUGAUAUGAACCGUUAUAACCGGCGAUUUCCGAAUGGGGAAACCCAGUGUGAUUCGUCACACUAUCAUUAACUGAAUCCAUAGGUUAAUGAGGCGAACCGGGGGAACUGAAACAUCUAAGUACCCCGAGGAAAAGAAAUCAACCGAGAUUCCCCCAGUAGCGGCGAGCGAACGGGGAGCAGCCCAGAGCCUGAAUCAGUGUGUGUGUUAGUGGAAGCGUCUGGAAAGGCGCGCGAUACAGGGUGACAGCCCCGUACACAAAAAUGCACAUACUGUGAGCUCGAUGAGUAGGGCGGGACACGUGGUAUCCUGUCUGAAUAUGGGGGGACCAUCCUCCAAGGCUAAAUACUCCUGACUGACCGAUAGUGAACCAGUACCGUGAGGGAAAGGCGAAAAGAACCCCGGCGAGGGGAGUGAAAAAGAACCUGAAACCGUGUACGUACAAGCAGUGGGAGCACGCUUAGGCGUGUGACUGCGUACCUUUUGUAUAAUGGGUCAGCGACUUAUAUUCUGUAGCAAGGUUAACCGAAUAGGGGAGCCGAAGGGAAACCGAGUCUUAACUGGGCGUUAAGUUGCAGGGUAUAGACCCGAAACCCGGUGAUCUAGCCAUGGGCAGGUUGAAGGUUGGGUAACACUAACUGGAGGACCGAACCGACUAAUGUUGAAAAAUUAGCGGAUGACUUGUGGCUGGGGGUGAAAGGCCAAUCAAACCGGGAGAUAGCUGGUUCUCCCCGAAAGCUAUUUAGGUAGCGCCUCGUGAAUUCAUCUCCGGGGGUAGAGCACUGUUUCGGCAAGGGGGUCAUCCCGACUUACCAACCCGAUGCAAACUGCGAAUACCGGAGAAUGUUAUCACGGGAGACACACGGCGGGUGCUAACGUCCGUCGUGAAGAGGGAAACAACCCAGACCGCCAGCUAAGGUCCCAAAGUCAUGGUUAAGUGGGAAACGAUGUGGGAAGGCCCAGACAGCCAGGAUGUUGGCUUAGAAGCAGCCAUCAUUUAAAGAAAGCGUAAUAGCUCACUGGUCGAGUCGGCCUGCGCGGAAGAUGUAACGGGGCUAAACCAUGCACCGAAGCUGCGGCAGCGACGCUUAUGCGUUGUUGGGUAGGGGAGCGUUCUGUAAGCCUGUGAAGGUGUGCUGUGAGGCAUGCUGGAGGUAUCAGAAGUGCGAAUGCUGACAUAAGUAACGAUAAAGCGGGUGAAAAGCCCGCUCGCCGGAAGACCAAGGGUUCCUGUCCAACGUUAAUCGGGGCAGGGUGAGUCGACCCCUAAGGCGAGGCCGAAAGGCGUAGUCGAUGGGAAACAGGUUAAUAUUCCUGUACUUGGUGUUACUGCGAAGGGGGGACGGAGAAGGCUAUGUUGGCCGGGCGACGGUUGUCCCGGUUUAAGCGUGUAGGCUGGUUUUCCAGGCAAAUCCGGAAAAUCAAGGCUGAGGCGUGAUGACGAGGCACUACGGUGCUGAAGCAACAAAUGCCCUGCUUCCAGGAAAAGCCUCUAAGCAUCAGGUAACAUCAAAUCGUACCCCAAACCGACACAGGUGGUCAGGUAGAGAAUACCAAGGCGCUUGAGAGAACUCGGGUGAAGGAACUAGGCAAAAUGGUGCCGUAACUUCGGGAGAAGGCACGCUGAUAUGUAGGUGAAGUCCCUCGCGGAUGGAGCUGAAAUCAGUCGAAGAUACCAGCUGGCUGCAACUGUUUAUUAAAAACACAGCACUGUGCAAACACGAAAGUGGACGUAUACGGUGUGACGCCUGCCCGGUGCCGGAAGGUUAAUUGAUGGGGUCAGCGCAAGCGAAGCUCUUGAUCGAAGCCCCGGUAAACGGCGGCCGUAACUAUAACGGUCCUAAGGUAGCGAAAUUCCUUGUCGGGUAAGUUCCGACCUGCACGAAUGGCGUAAUGAUGGCCAGGCUGUCUCCACCCGAGACUCAGUGAAAUUGAACUCGCUGUGAAGAUGCAGUGUACCCGCGGCAAGACGGAAAGACCCCGUGAACCUUUACUAUAGCUUGACACUGAACAUUGAGCCUUGAUGUGUAGGAUAGGUGGGAGGCUUUGAAGUGUGGACGCCAGUCUGCAUGGAGCCGACCUUGAAAUACCACCCUUUAAUGUUUGAUGUUCUAACGUUGACCCGUAAUCCGGGUUGCGGACAGUGUCUGGUGGGUAGUUUGACUGGGGCGGUCUCCUCCUAAAGAGUAACGGAGGAGCACGAAGGUUGGCUAAUCCUGGUCGGACAUCAGGAGGUUAGUGCAAUGGCAUAAGCCAGCUUGACUGCGAGCGUGACGGCGCGAGCAGGUGCGAAAGCAGGUCAUAGUGAUCCGGUGGUUCUGAAUGGAAGGGCCAUCGCUCAACGGAUAAAAGGUACUCCGGGGAUAACAGGCUGAUACCGCCCAAGAGUUCAUAUCGACGGCGGUGUUUGGCACCUCGAUGUCGGCUCAUCACAUCCUGGGGCUGAAGUAGGUCCCAAGGGUAUGGCUGUUCGCCAUUUAAAGUGGUACGCGAGCUGGGUUUAGAACGUCGUGAGACAGUUCGGUCCCUAUCUGCCGUGGGCGCUGGAGAACUGAGGGGGGCUGCUCCUAGUACGAGAGGACCGGAGUGGACGCAUCACUGGUGUUCGGGUUGUCAUGCCAAUGGCACUGCCCGGUAGCUAAAUGCGGAAGAGAUAAGUGCUGAAAGCAUCUAAGCACGAAACUUGCCCCGAGAUGAGUUCUCCCUGACUCCUUGAGAGUCCUGAAGGAACGUUGAAGACGACGACGUUGAUAGGCCGGGUGUGUAAGCGCAGCGAUGCGUUGAGCUAACCGGUACUAAUGAACCGUGAGGCUUAACCUUACAACGCCGAAGGUGUUU
rnacentral:rRNA from 1 species